UUCGAUGUGUCAGAUUUUAGCUAAAAGUUAAAAAUUUCACCAAAUGGUUCACAGCCUCAAUAGGUUUUGUGUUUAGUCAAAAGGUUGUGUUUUUAUCGCGAGAUGCGAUAUCAUUCAGCACAGUUUAUUUUAGACGAGAAUAUAGUGUUGCUCGGCAAAACAAGCUUUAAAAAAUAUAUCUCCGCUUAAAAUUUUGUAACAUCUUAAGAAUGGAUCUCUGUUGCGUUUCGGAAAAUUCUUUCUACGUAAUAAAGUUCGUAAAUACCCAGUUGAAAAAAGACGGCAAUAAAGAAAAUAAGGAGAACAUUAUUGCAGCGCUAGUAUCAAGAUUGCAAAUAUAUGUUGAACAAAUCAACUCUUUGUUGGAACAAUCUAGUCUUCAGCAUGACUUAACUAUACCUUGCGGGAUUAAGGAAGUAAAAGUAUUGCAUACUCAGAUAAAUUUUUUUAUGCAAAAAUGUUGUCAACUUCAAAGAGAAAUUGUAUAUAUACAACAUGCGACACGCGCUUAUAUCUCUAAUUUGGAACAUCUGGAAUUAAAUUUUGAUAAGCUUCAAGUGGCAAAAUAUGGCAUGCAAGAAUCAGAUCGUUGGCAUAGAAUAAUUGCUGAGCUAGAUGAGUUACUUGGGCAAAAUGAUAUAGUUGAAUUAAAAGACAAGUUUUUAGCAUUGAAGAAAUCUCUUCUUGCACAAUCAAAAAUGCCAGGGCAAGCGGAACGAGAUUUGCAGUUUGAGUAUUUAACAAAUAGAAUAGAGGCCCUGGCAAAUCCCAUAGUCGUACAUUGUAUUCAAACAGCGGACACUGAUUGUCUAAUGCAACAUGUUGAAUUAUAUAAAACUAUCAGACGCGUAUCACACCUUAGACAGUGCUAUCGAUCUGUACAUACAAAUAUACUUUUGGACAAAUGGAAAAAUAUCACAAAACCUGGAGAUGGAAUCAAUUUUCUAUCCGAUUUCUAUGAAAUACUCUUACAUUUUGUCGAAAAUCAGCACAAAUUGUGCAAACAAACGUUUGCGGAUGUUUUGGAAUUAGUGGAUAUUGUGUCUGAAACUUUAAGUGCUAUUCAGAUCUCUAGACAAACAUUUACAAUGAACCUGCUGAAAACAACUUCCGAUAAGCUCGACCUGCUAGUUAGAGUUGCAGAAAAUAACGCGAAUUUUUUAUCGCGUAUUGAAAAGGUACUAAAAGACCAAAUAAUUCCAACUGAUAAACGCGAACGGCUGUCGGUAGGAAUUUUUUCGUAUUUCGAUACAUUUGUCGAUCUAUAUUCAGGAAUUGAAGAGACUUAUGUAGAUGGAAUGAUGAAGAGCAUCGAUGUUUCAGAUACCAACCUAGCUGACAAUAUACGCAAUUUGAAUUUUCACAGUACAAGGAUAGUAAAAUGGAUUGACGAUGCGCUUGAGCGCUGCAUUGUGAUUACACGAGGAAAAUCUAUUUAUGAUAUCGCGAAGAUUAUCGAAAAUGCAUUAAUGGCGUAUAAUGAAAAAAUGAGUAUAAUACAAAUGCGAAUAACACUUCAAAAACUACCAGAGCAAACAGACUGGAAUUUACUUCAGAUAAACAUAAACCUGUUAGAGCAUUUAGGCGAUUUAUUAAUCACUGUUCAACGAUGUGACUCGAACAUACAUUUUAUAAUAAAUACUAAUUCAGAUAGCUACUUUGAUGCAAUAGGUGCAUCGCGAAAAUCUGAUAAAGAUUGCGAAAGAAAAUCAAAGUUCACAAUUAAAAAUCACGAAAGUGCUUCCGUAACAUUGUUUUCUAACCAAUACAUUUCAUUGAAGAACGUUGCUAUAGAAAUUUACAAUAAUAUCGUUCUAAUGAUUGUUUCUCCCAUAGAAAAACAAAUUUUACAAAUGAAUUUUCUGCUCGAUAAGCAAUUUCAAGGAUUCAACCUGCCGGAUUAUAGCGUUGCUCCGCAAGAGUAUAUAACCCGAGUAGGGCAACAUUUGCUUACACUUCCUCAACAUCUAGAACCAUUGUUGCUGACACCAUCAGCUUCUUUGAAAUAUUUUUUGAAGGACUUUAACAGUACGUACGAAAGUGGAGACACAUGUGCUGAUGUUCUAUUAAGCAUUGUAGUGGAAAGAACAUGUAUAAUAUAUGUGAAAAUCAUAGAUGAUAUUCUAAGUUUAUCCGCUUCCGGAGCAAAACAACUGGCCAUUGAUAUCGAAUACUUUGGACAUGUGUUAGAGGAAUUAAGUCUGCAGUUGAAUAUCGAGUUGAAACAAAUAAUUACAUUAUUAAGGAUACCACCGGAACAAUAUAACACAGCAAGUUCGGUUUCUAAUAUAAGAUUAGUAACAUCUAUCAGACAGAAGCGAAACAUCGUAUCGUGUUAAUUGAUUUGUAAUUGAAAAUUUAAAAAAUAAACAAAAAAUGUAAAAAGGAAUUGAUGAACUACUAUCAACGAUAAAUCCAAACAUUUUUACAGGAAUUUCGUUUUCUUGUGCAUUUUUUCCGAAAAAAAAUUAAAAGGUUGUGUACAGGGCACGACCACGGUGACAUUAAAAAUGUAGUUUUUUUUCAAGAGCGGGCAAAUGAAUAUUAUCUAUCACAACUAUCGACUCACGUUCUAGCUCACUCUCCUGUUCCCAUAUGCUACAAUUUGCUAUACAUCCAUCUAGCUGGUCUGUUCAGAAAAUAUAUUCAAAAGGAAAGCUCCAUAUUGAGAACUGUGAUGAGGAAGCCCGCGCUCACAAACGGAAAUAUUAAGUUUCUCCACGAAAUAUGAAAUAGUUUGUGACCAACGUGUAUUUGUUCCUGCUGUCCAACAAUUCGCUCGUUCAAAGGCAACAAACGGAGGAUAGCGAAUCGCUACCGGAACCAACGCAAAUUCUGCUGAUCGAUCGUGUCAAUUGCGCUUAACAACGAAUCGCUAUACUCCGGGCUGAUCGUGGUCCGGCACAAGAUGCUAUACCGGAUCUACGCUUGCACGGGAAAUUGUAACAUACCGAAACCGAAUGAGGGGGAAGAUGCAUCAAACGGUGCGGUAUCGUCCCCACUGGGCUACCGACCAACGUGUAAUUGUUCCUGCUGUCUGAAAAGUCGACCGGACUCGCUCGAUCAAGUACCAAACGCGAUACUGAGUCGCUACCGGAAGCGACACCAAUUCCGCUGAAAUCUAUCGUUUGUGUGUUACCACGAACCGCUAUACUCCGCGCUGAUCGUGCUCCGGAACGAAAUGCUAUACCGGUUCUACGCUUGCAUGGGAAUUUUAAUCGUACCGAAAUGGUAAGAGUCAAUGUCCAUCUGCUUCCAGUGUGCGGCAAUGAGAUUUCAGCUCGCCGGAUACACCACGGCCGCAGCUGCUUGUAGCAGGUGAAUUUGCUCAACACCAUAUUACGUUUAAAAGCGACCCAGACCGCCCGAAAUGUCACCUGAUUUGCUCUCUGAACGCGUUGCUCAUCCAGAGUUGCUUAUUUUGGCUAUUCGCAACUAACCUACACUGGAUACAAGUCGUUCCUGCAUCCGCCACCCGUGGACGCGCUCGAUGGCUCUCAACUGAGUUUGUGUAUGUAUGUGAGUAUCAAAUAAUAUCACUUUUCUCAGAGAUGGUUGGACCGAUUUAAACAUUGUUAUACUCAAAUGAAAGGUGCAACAUAGCCAUAGGCUGCUAUUGAAUUUUAUUUGGAUCUGGUUCUGGAGUUAUGAGUUGGAAAGUGCGAUCGCACAUGAAAUUAUCUAAACCUUUGUGCUUUUUGCAUAUAAAGAAAUACUAUGCAAUCACUCCACAAAUCAACUUUUCAACUGAGACUCGGGGGCCGAAUGUCAUAAUCCAUUCGAUUCAGUUCGUCGAGAUCGGUCAAUGUCUGUGUGUGCAUGUGUGCACAUCUAGGGGGAAGUGGCCCAAUUCGGACCGCUGGCCAAUUCGGACCCCCAGCUGUUUCUCAGCUAUGGUAAUAUUAUGAAAAGCACAUAUAUCAUUGUCAUGGCUGUCAUGUAGCUCUGUUUUAUAUCACAAAAUUUUGCGGUUCUCAGUUUUCGUAUGCGUGCGCUGGGGGCGAAUGUUGUUUUGGAGCGCUUUUUUGAAAAAUGUGUAAGCCAAAAAACACAAUUUUCGUUGGCAACAACAAUAUAUCAAGUCAAAUGCAUUAUCGUGAUUUUGGAUCUACUGGAUAAUAUCUUUUAUUUAAUAUCUUGUUUUGGGCGAGACUAUCAACUGUUUUCGUUUAAUUGGUGUGUGAAUAAUAGAAUAUGGGAUGAGCUUGUCAAAUUCCAGCAAAAAUCCGCAUUGCCGUCGACGGGGGUACGAAUCGAUGGGUUGACUUUCUUAAGGAAAAUAUUGGCACAGAAGAACAGUUCGGUGACGGGGAAUUUCGAUUCCUGCACCGAUUAAUCUAUGACUUAAGGAAAGCGGUUGAAUUGCAAGGUAAGAACAUUACAAAUUAAAAAAAAAAAAUUCACUCGUUACUGAUGUCUAUUUAACAGAUAAUCAAAACACCCAAAUGCUACAGAUUUUACAAAAUCUCUCAAAGCGAUUUAGAGCACCAGUUACGAUAGCGAAAUAAGUCGAAUUCUGGUGUUGUGUGAAAGUUCUGGCCGGUUGUACCAAAUCAUGGCCAACAUUAAUACUUUGUCCCUGGCCCGUGACAUUCUACCGAAUGCAUUUGUAUUCUUGCGAUCCAGUAACUCUCAGUUGGCUGCUACCGGCGGGAACCCACUUAAUUCAAAUUUCCCCUCGGUUGGUACACGAACGUAUCUGGUGUUCGCUUGUUCCUAUUGGACAACGGGCCGUAUGUAGCACUAGUGGAUUGCACUGGAACCUCGACAACCGGGCUGUUUGGUAAGCACUUCGAACACUCACUCUAGCCAGGAAGUUCAAAUUCAAUCAGAGAGUGCCGUACUUUGGUUAAUGGGAACGACCCCGAAGGAUAUGUGAUAAGAGUAUUGCCUGCAACUGAAAAUACGCGUUCAUGUCAACGGGCUUUUAGGUGCCUAAUAAAAUUCCCUCAUCUCUCUGUAUGUUGCUUUAUUAGAUAUAAUACAAAUAUAUUGAUAUAGAAUGACAAUAUUUUAUUUUCUUAAAGUAAAAGUGUCAAUUUCUAGCUUUUUAGUAAUACUGUUCAGAGAAAUCGACCUCCGACAAUUAAUCGGCGAUCGUCUUCACAUCUAGACAUGUAAAAUGAUUUAAUUUUCGCGGGAAACCGGCACAGCAUUAUUGGUUCGUUUAUUUGCUCCGUCAUUUUUCGUUCCGGACCCUCCGGAAUAUCAUCGCCAAACUCAUAAAAAGUUCCAUCAUUCUUGGUGACGUUGUUCUCCUUUAGCCAGUCAAUAGCAUCGACAUAGUUCGGUGGCAUAAAAUUCGGGUUAAGAUGACCCCACGGAGAUUUCAAUACUCGAUCGACAACAUCUACUAUCAAAUCUUCCAGCCGAUCAAGUAGCUCUUUGAAAGUAAUAAAGAGACAUUCACCCUCAAUAUAACUGUAUUCUGCUAAAUCACGGCGAGCAAGACUCUGCUCUGCACGGUAACUUUGAGAAAUGCAAUAGUCGCCCAAUGCCGGCAAACAGGUUUCCAUAUAUUUUUGUGAGCUUUGCGUCAGGAAUGCUUCCGCCCUAAAAUGUAUUUAUUGUUUGAGCAAAUACUUUUAAUGCGAACAUUUUUUAUUUACCUAAAAUAGUCCAGUUUGAACAGAGUCGACCCUCCUUCAACUUGUGUUUGCACCAGCGUCGGCGGCGUUACCUCCGUGUAACCACGUUCAUGAUAAUGCUCCCUAAAUGCCAUCAUAAUGACAUCUCUCAUCUUGAGAAUCUUAGAAGUAUUUUCGCCUCUAAUCAUAAUGUGUCUGUUAUCGAGCUAGACAUCAGGAUAAGCAUCCUCGUUCAAAAUAGAAUCUGCCCCACCGGCCGGAGCUAAUCCAAUUAGCUACCAAUAAUCAACGUGCAGCUCAUGUCCACCGGGAGCGGACUUACCUUCUGGAACCUCUGACACAAGGUAUCGCUGAGAACGCUUUUCAAGAAUUUUCUUGAGCUGAGAUUUGGCUACUAGUUCGUAGGGUGAUUCCGAUUUUGCAUCCUUAGCGUUUACAUAAAUUCUUGGGAAAGGUUCCUUGCCGGCGUGCUUCAUGGCUUGUAGGAUUGUUUUGAAGGGUUUUUCCGCUGUUCCAUCACCGAACUCGUCAUCGACACGCUUUUCCAAGGUGUAGAGAUCGUCUAGAGGUGGUGAGAAAAAUUGGAUCAAUAUUCAAUUAUUAUUAUCCAUCACCGUUGGUUGAAUUUCAGCGGCCGUUCACUUUCCGGCAAGUGUAAUGGAUAAGAGUACUUACUGGCAACGUUUGUUGAGUGCCGAACAGGGGAUUGAUUUCCGUUUCAUCCUUGUUACUACGAGUAGGUUAUGCUUCUUUUACCAUCUCAGCAUAGAUAUCAGUUUCGGCUGCCAACGUCGGAUGGUAAUCUAACGAGAAGAGAUUAUAUUAAAUUCAAAAAAAUUUUAUCUUAAAGAAAGAAACCACCCAACUUACCACUAAGAAUUGAAACUUUUCAUAGCUAGCGUCAUACUGUUGAACUUCGCUGUCCAAGCAUUCCUGACAUUCUUCCGGGUGUUGCAUGUGCAUCUGCGCCCCCCGGAACGAACGGUCGGGGUGAAACGGAUAGUAGAUUCUUCGUAUACCACUAACCGUAUCGUGGGGGAUAAAACAUUCCUUCUUCAUAGCCUCCAACAGUUCUUAGUGCAUCAGGUGUAGGAUAAAUCGAUUCCAAUUUUGAAUUAGACUGAUCAGAUUGAUGUUAGCAAUGUUGCUUCGGUCCGAAGAAAGUAUUAACCCCAGGGCAGCUUCUUCCGGAAAGAGAAUUCCUUACAACAGCAGUGCGUAAUGGGUCGAAGUGACAGCUGCUAUCUAAACCAAGACUAUUGAAAACUAUAGGUAGGAUUAUUCAAGAUUAGCUAAAACUAGUCGAGAUUAUUUUGGGAAUAAAAAAGUUCACUAAUUUAUUUUAGUCCAACGUUUAGAGUGAUUUCCCCCUAGGGGUAUGGAUGUUUUUUUAUAACCGUUGGCUGAAUUUUCGUGAAAAAGUAUAUGUCGCCACGCGAUGGGAGUACAAUGUACGAUUAUUUCAAGUCAAUUUGAAUAGCUUUCAAUAAAUAUUUUCUUUGAUAUUUCACAGGUGCCAUUAGUAGCCUUGAGGACAACCAUAACAACUGGGUGACUAAACAGAACAGCGGGACAUUAUGAUUUAGAGCAACACACCACCGUUCUAUGAAUCGUUGGGGUUUGCACCAUGCGAUGUAGAAUAAUAUAGUCAAUGAGACAAAAUAACUAAUCGAAUGAUUCACUGCGUAUAGUUUUUCUCAUGUUCCCAAUCUUCUAUUGGCAGACAGCCGCUUUAAAUAAUCGGUGCAACGUCGUAACAUUAUUUAGUGGAUUCUUGGUGGAAAUGUGGUGCUUCCUGCCGAUGUUGGUGACUCGAAGGCAAACCGAAUAAAAGGGCUCCAGAUUGAAACAGUUAAACAUAUAGGGUAGAUGAUUUAAUUUUUCUCAAACAAUUAGGGUGCUACACUAUGUUCCGAUGAAUAUACUGGAAGAGGUAGAGAUUUUGUGCGAAGUAGGGAUACCAAUUUUUUAUCCCAUAAUUUGAACAGCAGACGAUGUGUUCGGUUAGGUACAAUAAAUAGAUAGGCUACGAUGAUAUAAAGAGAUGUAACCCUCUCAGUGGGAGGCACGAUUCUCGAGAGUCUAAGAUAGAAUAUUUAUGCAAUUUCACCCGAUCGAAGUGAAUUAUAACUCUUACAGAAACAUGGACAAAUAUAUUGCGAAUGAAUAAAUUAUGUUUCUAAAGUAAA